rnacentral:rRNA from 1 species
UACGAAGGGGGCUAGCGUUGCUCGGAAUCACUGGGCGUAAAGCGCACGUAGGCGGAUUGCUAAGUCAGGGGUGAAAUCCUGGAGCUCAACUCCAGAACUGCCUUUGAUACUAGCGACCUUGAGUCCGGGAGAGGUGAGUGGAACUGCGAGUGUAGAGGUGAAAUUCGUAGAUAUUCGCAAGAACACCAGUGGCGAAGGCGGCUCACUGGCCCGGUACUGACGCUGAGGUGCGAAAGCGUGGGGAGCAAACAGG